UACAGAGGGUGCGAGCGUUGUCCGGAAUCACUGGGCGUAAAGGGCGCGUAGGCGGCCUGAUAAGUAGGGGGUGAAAUCCUGUGGCUUAACUGCAGGGCUGCCUCCUAGACUGUUAGGCUCGAGCACGGUAGAGGCAGAUGGAAUUCCCGGUGUAGCGGUGGAAUGCGUAGAGAUCGGGAAGAACAUCGGUGGCGAAGGCGGUCUGCUGGGCCGUUGCUGACGCUGAGGCGCGACAG
rnacentral:rRNA from 1 species